rnacentral:rRNA from 1 species
UGGCGGGAGGGUGAGUAAUGUCUGGGAAACUGCCUGAUGGAGGGGGAUAACUACUGGAAACGGUAGCUAAUACCGCAUAACGUCGCAAGACCAAAGAGGGGGACCUUCGGGCCUCUUGCCAUCGGAUGUGCCCAGAUGGGAUUAGCUAGUAGGUGGGGGAAGGGCUCACCUAGGCGACGAUCCCUAGCUGGUCUGAGAGGAUGACCAGCCACACUGGAACUGAGACACGGUCCAG